AUGAAGACACUUAUUGGAAUGUUCCUGUUCUUGUGGCUGCAGCUGGACUGGUUGAGUAGAGGAGAAGAGAUACAGCAGCACCCUUCUUUCUUGACUGUCCGGGAGGGAGACAGCUUUGUUAUCAACUGCACUUACACAGACAGUGCCCCCAACUACUUCUUUUGGUACAAGCAAGAACCUGGAAAAGGCCUCCAGUUGCUUAUAUAUACUCUUUCAAAUGUGGUCAAGAAACAAGAACAAAGACUCACCGUCCUAUUUAAUAAGAAGGACAAACAUCUUUCCCUGCAAGACACAGCCACCCAUCCUAGGGACUCAGCCACCUACUUCUGUGCAACAAGAGCACAGUGGUCCCCAGGCACCUGCAGCCUGCCCCCAAACCUAAGACUGGGGUGGAAGCCCCACUCUUUUCCCCUUUGUCACCAGUUUUCAAGUCAGAGAUUUUGCCAUAUUCCAUCUUAA